GCCCGGAUGGUGAAAUUUGGUAUACACUGGAGACUUAAAAUCUCCCGGGAGCAAUCCCUUGCGAGUUCGAGUCUCGCUCCGGGCA
rnacentral:tRNA from 1 species